rnacentral:rRNA from 1 species
AACGAACGCUGGCGGCAUGCCUAACACAUGCAAGUCGAACGAGACCUUCGGGUCUAGUGGCGCACGGGUGCGUAACGCGUGGGAACCUGCCCUUAGGUUCGGAAUAACUCCCCGAAAGGGGUGCUAAUACCGGAUAAUGUCUUCGGACCAAAGAUUUAUCGCCUUUGGAUGGGCCCGCGUUGGAUUAGCUAGUUGGUAGGGUAAAAGCCUACCAAGGCGACGAUCCAUAGCUGGUCUGAUAGGAUGAUCAGCCACACUGGGACUGAGACACGGCCCAGACUCCUACGGGAGGCAGCAGUGGGGAGUAUUGGACAAUGGGCGAAAGCCUGAUCCAGCAAUGCCGCGUGAGUGAUGAAGGCCUUAGGGUUGUAGAGCUCUUUUACCCGGGAUGAUAAUGACAGUACCGGGAGAAUAAGCUCCGGCUAACUCCGUG